rnacentral:lncRNA from 1 species
UUAGGAUAGUGUCUAGAAUGCACAAACAAAAUGCCGCUGUUUGGAUAUAACAAUGGAUUAUUUUGAACCAAACCAACAUUUGUUAUUGAAGUAACAGUCCUGGGAGUGCAUUCUGACGAAGAACACCAAAGCAUCAGUAGAAGACUCCUGACUCUCCUCCACCAGUCAUACAAGGAUAAUGCCUAAUGCUUCCCAUUAAAAAGAGAGCUGGCCCAAGCAAGCACAGGUUAUACCUGAAGCAUGAGGACUUGCAGCAAGUGGUGAACUUCAUCAAUAACUACGGAGAGGAUAAUGCAAUAGUAUUACCAGGAAGCCACCCAGGACACAAACACUUUGGUGGAAAGCUGCUGCCAUCCCAUGUGACAAAAGCAGCAGUGUGCCAUCUCUACAAUGAAUCGAUGACAACACUUGAGGUACGUGCAGUUGGGCUGUGUGUUAUCAUUUUAACUUCCAGUUUCCAAUAUUAUGUUUCUGUAUGCAGUGCUGCUGCUCUGCACAUUUGUAGGCGCACUAUCCUUCUGACCCUAUGCAGCCAGGUUCCGUUUACUUUUUAACUCCUUGCAAAUAUGGCUUGUUUGGUGUCUGCUGUGAAGCAAUACCACAAAAAGUCAACUAUUUGAUUGAUGAGGGCAUGUCAUCCAGCAAAGACAGCAGCGCAGUCAUCAACUACCUGCACCAUUUCUUCUUCAACUACGGAGUAGAGGAAAUACGUGUGGACCUGAAUUGUGAAAAAUGCAGUGGCCAAAACAAGAACAAGUUUGUGCUCUGGUAUUGUGCGUGGCAGACCAUGCACUAGAUCCACCACAGACCUUCACUUCCUGAUCACAGGCCAAACCAAGUUUGCCCCUGUCUGGUGCUUCGGCCUCAUCAAGCAGCACUUCAUAGUAUACACUUUGUCUGAGAUUGCUGGUGUUGUGAAGGACAGCACUGUGACAGUGGUCAACAUUCCACAGCUGGUUGGACUGGAGGAUGGUAUGGUGCUGGUGGAAAGCUGUGCCUGGCAACAACACCUGACUCCGUACUUCAGACCGCUGCCACAGUUCAAGCAGUAAAAGCACUUCAGAUGAAUAUAAUAAUUUUAAUUCCAUUCGUCAAUACUCUGGAGCCUGGUGUUGUUGUCGCCAAGGAGCAUUCGGUCUCAGUCGGGACCAGGUUUCAGCUGCUGCACAACGCUGACAUCCUUCCUCCGAUUGAUGGUUUGCCUGUACAAGCACCACCUGGACUGGACACAGCUAGACAAACAUAUGUUUUUGAGAAGAUCAGGGAGAUUUGCGACAAAGAGGCUAUGUAAUAGGGGGUUUUAAUUCUCCACCCAAAAUACAACAUGCCAUGAAAAGGCACAGGGACGAAGCCCAAAACAAACAAGUAUACAAAAACACAGGGACGUAACCAAAACAAAAGAGCGAGGUAAAACCUCUAAUAAAUACACGGGACGAGGCCCGUAAUAACAAUUGCACAAUACUACACGGUACGAGACCCGUAAUGACGAGUACACAAUACACGCAGCACGGAAGCCGAAACAACAAAGCACAGGUCCUCAACGUAAAGUCACAAGACCAACGGACAUGGGAAAGAUAACCAACAAAACAAUGCUGAACAGAGGGCGCAUAUAUACAAUUACUUAUCAGGGGGAAUGGGAACCAGGUGUGCGUAAUGAAACAGUUCAAUGAUGCCUAGAGGCCAGUGACGUAUACCUCUGGAGCUGGUGCACUGACUGAGCAGCAGUACUGGGGGAAUCCAUGACAGUUACCUCUGCUGCACAAGAUAUGUUCAUUAACGUUAACAAAUAAAUGCUUCAUAGAGUAACAGACACACCUCAACAAUGACUAUUCAGAGGAGACUGUGUGAAUCAGGCCUUCAUGGUCGAAUUGCUGUUAAGAAAUCCCUACUAAAGGACAUCAAUAAGAAGAAGAGACUUGCUUGGGCCAAGAAACACGAGCAAUGGACAUCAGACCGGUGGAAAUCUGUCCUUUGGUCUAAUGGGUCAAAAUUUUAGAUUUUUGGUUCCAACCGCCGUGUCUUUGUGAGACGCAGGGUAGGUGAACGGAUGAUCUCUGCAUGUGUGGUUCCCACUGUGAGGCAUGGAUGAGGAGGUGUGUUGGUGUGGGGGAGCUUUGGGAUUUAUUUAGAAUUCAAGGCACACUUAACCAGCAUAGCUACCACAGUAUUCUGCAGCAAUGCGCCAUCCCAUCUGGUUUGCGCUUAGUGCAACUAUCAUUUGUUUUCAACAGGACAAUGACCAAAAACACACCUCCAGGCUGUGUAAGGGCUAUUUGACCAAGAAGGAGAGUGAUGGUAUGCUGCAUCAGAUGACCUGGCCUCCACAAUCACCCGACCUCAACCCAAUUGAGAUGGUUUGGGAUGAGUUGGACCGCAGAGUGAAGGAAAAGCAGCCAACAAGUGCUCAGGAUGUGUGGGAACUCCUUCAAGACUGUUGGAAAAGCAAUCCAGAUGAAGCUGGUUGAGAGAAUGCCAAGAUUGUGUAAAGCUGUCAUCAAGGCAAAGCGUGGCUACUUUACUUUCCAAAAUAUGAAAUAUAUUUUGAUUUGUUUCACACUUUUUUGGUUACUGCAUGAUUACAUAUUUGUUAUUUCAUAGUUUUGAUGUCUUCACUAUUAUUCUACAAUGUACCUCAAAAAUGCUAUAACUUCAAUUUCUCAAACAUAUUACUAUUUUACACCAUUUUAAAGACAAGACUCUCGUUAAUCU